rnacentral:rRNA from 1 species
GCACGGGUGAGUAACACGUAUCCAACCUGCCGUCUACUCUUGGACAGCCUUCUGAAAGGAAGAUUAAUACAAGAUGGCAUCAUGAGUCCGCAUGUUCACAUGAUUAAAGGUGUUCCGGUAGACGAUGGGGAUGCGUUCCAUUAGAUAGUAGGCGGGGUAACGGCCCACCUAGUCUUCGAUGGAUAGGGGUUCUGAGAGGAAGGUCCCCCACAUUGGAACUGAGACACGGUCCAAACUCCUACGGGAGGCAGCAGUGAGGAAUAUUGGUCAAUGGGCGCAGGCCUGAACCAGCCAAGUAGCGUGAAGGAUGACUGCCCUAUGGGUUGUAAACUUCUUUUAUAAAGGAAUAAAGUCGGGUAUGUAUACCCGUUUGCAUGUACUUUAUGAAUAAGGAUCGGCUAACUCCGUGCCAGCAGCCGCGGUAAUACGGAGGAUCCGAGCGUUAUCCGGAUUUAUUGGGUUUAAAGGGAGCGUAGAUGGAUGUUUAAGUCAGUUGUGAAAGUUUGCGGCUCAACCGUAAAAUUGCAGUUGAUACUGGAUAUCUUGAGUGCAGUUGAGGCAGGCGGAAUUCGUGGUGUAGCGGUGAAAUGCUUAGAUAUCACGAAGAACUCCGAUUGCGAAGGCAGCCUGCUAAGCUGCAACUGACAUUGAGGCUCGAAAGUGUGGGUAUCAAACAGGAUUAGAUACCCUGGUAGUCCACACGGUAAACGAUGAAUACUCGCUGUUUGCGAUAUACGGCAAGCG